AGGACGAACGCUGGCGGCGUGCUUAACACAUGCAAGUCGAGCGGAAAGGCCCUUCGGGGUACGUCGAGCGGCGAACGGGUGAGUAACACGUGAGCAACCUGCCCUUAGCUCUGGGAUAGCUCCGGGAAACCGGAAUUAAUACCGGAUACGACCUAGGCCGACAUCGGCCAUGGUGGAAAGUUUUUCGGCUAGGGAUGGACUCGCGGCCUAUCAGCUAGUUGGUGGGUAAAGGCCUACCAAGGCGACGACGGGUAG
rnacentral:rRNA from 1 species